CCUGGUGGUUAUAGCGGGCGGGUCCCACCUGAUUCCAUUUCGAACUCAGAAGUGAAAACGCUCAGCGCUGAUGAUAGUGUGAUUAUUUUCAUGCGAAAGUAAGUCGCCGCCAGGU
rnacentral:rRNA from 1 species